UACGGAGGGAGCUAGCGUUGUUCGGAAUUACUGGGCGUAAAGCGCACGUAGGCGGCGAUUCAAGUCAGAGGUGAAAGCCCGGGGCUCAACUCCGGAACUGCCUUUGAAACUAGAUUGCUAGAAUCUUGGAGAGGCGAGUGGAAUUCCGGGUGGAGUGGUGAAAUGCGUAGAGAUCCGGAGGAACACCAAAGGCGAAGGCAGUGUCCUGGGAAGUACCUGACGCUCAGGUGCGAAAGCCAGGGGAGCGAACGGG
rnacentral:rRNA from 1 species